rnacentral:rRNA from 1 species
CAGUCGCCGCGGGAAUACAGAGGGUGCGAGCGUUAAUCGGAUUUACUGGGCGUAAAGCGUGCGUAGGCGGCUAAUUGAGUCGGAUGUGAAAUCCCCGAGCUUAACUUGGGAAUUGCAUUCGAUACUGGUUAGCUAGAGUGUGGGAGAGGAUGGUAGAAUUCCAGGUGUAGCGGUGAAAUGCGUAGAGAUCUGGAGGAAUACCGAUGGCGAAGGCAGCCAUCUGGCCUAACACUGACGCUGAGGUACGAAAGCAUGGGGAGCAAACAGGAUUAGAUUACCCGAGUAGUCCCUGUCUCUUAUA